GACGAACGCUGGCGGCGUGCUUAACACAUGCAAGUCGAACGGAAAGGCCCUGCUUUUGUGGGGUGCUCGAGUGGCGAACGGGUGAGUAACACGUGAGUAACCUGCCCUUGACUUUGGGAUAACUUCAGGAAACUGGGGCUAAUACCGGAUAGGAGUUCCUGCUGCAUGGUGGGGGUUGGAAAGUUUCGGCGGUUGGGGAUGGACUGGCGGCUUAUCAGCUUGUUGGUGGGGUAGUGGCUUACCAAGGCUUUGACGGGUAGCCGGCCUGAGAGGGUGACCGGCCAAAAUGGGACUGGGGUCACGCCCCGAAUCCUACGGGGGGGAAGAGUGGGGGAAAUUUCACAAUGGGAGGGAGACUGAGGCAGAGACAUCGCGUGUGGGAUAACGAGCUUCGCGUAAUAAAACGCUUUCGCCUGUGACGAAGAGUGAGUGACGGUACUAAGUAAAGAAGCACCGGCUAAAUACGUG
rnacentral:rRNA from 1 species